CAUGAUUUAUCGUUCUAACUUGUCACAUUCCCUAAUAUUCAGAACAACCAUGUAGUACAUGCUUUGUAGAUGAAAGUAUGCAUAUUGGGAUCAUCGUAGGGUGACCGAAUUGGUGGAGUAAAUGAGCGAGGAGGCCUUUGGUCAGGAGUUCGAUUCCUCCUACCAACACUUUUUCAGUCAAGUCUGUCGCACUGUGCGGUUUAUCUGAUUGGAGUGGUUUGCAAGCUAUUGUAUCAACUCGAGAGUUUACUCAAUGCGCACUCGAAUGGUAGCGACUGCGGGUUCCCUCAUCACUAAAAAAAAAAAAAAAAAAGAGGAAGGUAUGCAUAUUGGAUUUAGUUCCACUAAAAAAUUCCGUCAUUUUUGGAAGUAGUGUAUGACCUUAGUUGUCUGUGUAAGUCAUGGUUAAAGUUAGAUGAUCUCUAUCAAAGUUCGUCACCAUCGACACGUCUUAUCCAACUAAGGAAUUGGUAUAACAGGUGUGGAA
rnacentral:lncRNA from 1 species